AAGCAGUGGGAGCACCCUUUGGGUGUGACUGCGUACCUUUUGUAUAAUGGGUCAGCGACUUAUAUUCUGUAGCAAGGUUAACCGAAUAGGGGAGCCGGAGGGAAACCGAGUCUUAACCGGGCGUUAAGUUGCAGGGUAUAGACCCGAAACCCGGUGAUCUAGCCAUGGGCAGGUUGAAGGUUGGGUAACACUAACUGGAGGACCGAACCGACUAAUGUUGAAAAAUUAGCGGAUGACCUGUGGCUGGGGGUGAAAGGCCAAUCAAACCGGGAGAUAGCUGGUUCUCCCCGAAAGCUAUUUAGGUAGCGCCUCGUGAAUUCAUCUCCGGGGGUAGAGCACUGUUUCGGCUAGGGGGCCAUCCCGGCUUACCAACCCGAUGCAAACUGCGAAUACCGGAGAAUGUUAUCACGGGAGACACACGGCGGGUGCUAACGUCCGUCGUGAAGAGGGAAACAACCCAGACCGCCAGCUAAGGUCCCAAAGUCAUGGUUAAGUGGGAAACGAUGUGGGAAGGCCCAGACAGCCAGGAUGUUGGCUUAGAAGCAGCCAUCAUUUAAAGAAAGCGUAAUAGCUCACUGGUCGAGUCGGCCUGCGCGGAAGAUGUAACGGGGCUAAACCAUGCACCGAAGCUGCGGCAGCGACACUGUGUGUUGUUGGGUAGGGGAGCGUUCUGUAAGCCUGUGAAGGUGUGUCGUGAGGCAUGCUGGAGGUAUCAGAAGUGCGAAUGCUGACAUAAGUAACGAUAAAGCGGGUGAAAAGCCCGCUCGCCGGAAGACCAAGGGUUCCUGUCCAACGUUAAUCGGGGCAGGGUGAGUCGACCCCUAAGGCGAGGCCGAAAGGCGUAGUCGAUGGGAAACGGGUUAAUAUUCCCGUACUUGGUGUUACUGCGAAGGGGGGACGGAGAAGGCUAUGUUGGCCGGGCGACGGUUGUCCCGGUUUAAGCGUGUAGGUGUGUGUUCCAGGUAAAUCCGGUUCACUUUAACACUGAGGCGUGACGACGAGGCACUACGGUGCUGAAGCAACAAAUGCCCUGCUUCCAGGAAAAGCCUCUAAGCAUCAGGUAACAUCAAAUCGUACCCCAAACCGACACAGGUGGUCAGGUAGAGAAUACCAAGGCGCUUGAGAGAACUCGGGUGAAGGAACUAGGCAAAAUGGUGCCGUAACUUCGGGAGAAGGCACGCUGACACGUAGGUGAAGUGAUUUACUCAUGGAGCUGAAGUCAGUCGAAGAUACCAGCUGGCUGCAACUGUUUAUUAAAAACACAGCACUGUGCAAACACGAAAGUGGACGUAUACGGUGUGACGCCUGCCCGGUGCCGGAAGGUUAAUUGAUGGGGUCAGCGCAAGCGAAGCUCCUGAU
rnacentral:rRNA from 1 species